rnacentral:tRNA from 1 species
AAGAUUUUAAGUUAAAACUAAACUCACAGCCUUCAAAGCUAUGUAUAUCUAAGAGAAGAUAAGUCUUA